UUUGACCGACCCCAACCACAGCGGCCGAUCCGCCAGCCGAUCCCGCCCAUACGUCGCCAACAGCGCCUGCGCCUC
rfam:Mycobacterium lacus strain DSM 44577 contig_73, whole genome shotgun sequence.